GGUGGUGAGGAGACCGGAGGAUGUGACAGUGGGCGCCACUGCUUUUCAGAAAAGGCACCAUCAUUCUCAACCUGAAAGAUCGUUAGCAAUAUAGUGAGGAAGCAAUAUUGUGUAUCAGCAUGGUGAAAAUACAAUCUACGGGUUCAAGACAGAAGAUUCAUUAAGACUUUUUUCCCUUAGAAGGGAACAGAGGGAAUAUACUACAACAGAAGCUUUUGUUACAGAGCAAAAAACCCAAGACAAUCAAAAAGUGCUAGUAUUUAUCUGCUUUGUGCUAGUAUUUAUCUCUUGUAAUCAUUUGCUGUUGGGAGCCGCGGCCGACACCGGUCGCCUUACUUGGCGGACGUAGGGCCUGUGGGUGGGAGCGGAGCCUGAGCUAGAUUGCCCCUCCCAUCGAGUGAGCCAAGUUGGCGCCUGCUUCCUGCCCCCUGAUUGCCCUGGCGACGUAAGCAGCCCGCGCAAUAGAAUAGUCUGCCUAGCAACAACUGAUGUUAGCCAAUCAGCCCGCAUCGCGCGCUUUGAACUGAUUGGCCACUGUUACCCUAUAAAAGUAAAUGCCUCUCCCGCCACGAGGGAGAAGCACAGAGGAAGCACGAGAGAGAUAGAGAAAGUCCACCGGCGAGAAAGGACUGGUGGCAGAGAGGAGGCCUCGCGGGGCCCACGCGGAGACAAAUAAAGGCAAGGUUGCACACCGCCA